UACGUAGGGUGCGAGCGUUGUCCGGAUUUAUUGGGCGUAAAGAGCGUGUAGGCGGCCUGAAAGGUCAGCUGUGAAAACUCGGGGCUCAACCUCGAGACGUCGGUUGAAACCAUCUGGCUAGAGUCCGGAAGAGGAGAGUGGAAUUCCCGGUGUAGCGGUGAAAUGCGCAGAUAUCGGGAAGAACACCCGUGGCGAAGGCGGCUCUCUGGGACGGUACUGACGCUGAGACGCGAAAGCGUGGGGAGCGAACAGG
rnacentral:rRNA from 1 species